UAGUCAUAUGCUUGUCUCAAAGAUUAAGCCAUGCAUGUCUAAGUAUAAGCAAUCUAUACGGUGAAACUGCGAAUGGCUCAUUAAAUCAGUUAUCGUUUAUUUGAUAGUACCUUACUACUUGGAUAACCGUGGUAAUUCUAGAGCUAAUACAUGCUAAAAACCCCGACUUCGGAAGGGGUGUAUUUAUUAGAUAAAAAACCAAUGCCCUUAGGGGCUCCUUGGUGAUUCAUAAUAACUUAACGAAUCGCAUGGCCUUGUGCCGGCGAUGGUUCAUUCAAAUUUCUGCCCUAUCAACUUUCGAUUGUAAGGUAGUGGCUUACAAUGGUUUCAACGGGUAACGGGGAAUUAGGGUUCUAUUCCGGAGAGGGAGCCUGAGAAACGGCUACCACAUCCAAGGAAGGCAGCAGGCGCGCAAAUUACCCAAUCCCGACACGGGGAGGUAGUGACAAUAAAUACUGAUACAGGGCUCUUUUGGGUCUUGUAAUUGGAAUGAGUACAAUUUAAAUCCCU
rnacentral:rRNA from 1 species